rnacentral:rRNA from 1 species
GCAAGUCGAACGCGAAAGCCCUUCGGGGUGAGUAGAGUGGCGGACGGGUGAGUAACGCGUGGGAAUCUGCCCAGUAGUUGGGGAUAACUCGAGGAAACUCGAGCUAAUACCGAAUACGCCCUACGGGGGAAAGGCUUCGGCCGCUAUUGGAUGAGCCCGCGUCAGAUUAGCUUGUUGGUAGGGUAAUGGCCUACCAAGGCGACGAUCUGUAGCUGGUCUGAGAGGACGAAC